rnacentral:tRNA from 1 species
GGAGCGGUAGUUCAGUCGGUUGGAAUACCUGCCUGUCACGCAGGGGGUCGCGGGUUCGAGUCCCGUCCGUUCCGCCA